rnacentral:rRNA from 1 species
UAAGGAAUAUUGCGCAAUGGGCGAAAGCCUGACGCAGCGACGCCGCGUGGGGGAUGAAGGCCUUCGGGUUGUAAACCCCUUUCAGCAGGGACGAAGCGAGAGUGACGGUACCUGCAGAAGAAGCGCCGGCUAACUACGUGCCAGCAGCCGCGGUAACACGUAGGGCGCAAGCGUUGUCCGGAAUUAUUGGGCGUAAAGAGCUCGUAGGCGGUCUGCUACGUCCGCUGUGAAAACCUAGGGCUUAACCCUGGGCUUGCAGUAGAUACGGGCAGACUAGAGGUAGGUAGGGGAGAAUGGAAUUCCCGGUGUAGCGGUGAAAUGCGCAGAUAUCGGGAGGAACACCGGUGGCGAAGGCGGUUCUCUGGGCCUUACCUGACGCUGAGGAGCGAAAGCGUGGGGAGCAAAC